CACCGCGUGGUGUAGAGGUUAGCACACUCGGCUGAUAACCGAGAAGACCUGGGUUCGAGUCCCGGGCGCGAUGA